rnacentral:rRNA from 1 species
AUUGAACGCUGGCGGAAUGCUUUACACAUGCAAGUCGAGCGGCAGCGCGGGGCAACCUGGCGGCGAGCGGCGAACGGGUGAGUAAUACAUCGGAACGUGCCCAAUCGUGGGGGAUAACGUAGCGAAAGCUACGCUAAUACCGCAUACGAUCUACGGAUGAAAGCGGGGGAUCGCAAGACCUCGCGCGAAUGGAGCGGCCGAUGGCAGAUUAGGUAGUUGGUGGGGUAAAGGCUCACCAAGCCUGCGAUCUGUAGCUGGUCUGAGAGGACGACCAGCCACACUGGAACUGAGACACGGUCCAGACUCCUACGGGAGGCAGCAGUGGGGAAUUUUGGACAAUGGGCGCAAGCCUGAUCCAGCCAUUCCGCGUGCAGGAUGAAGGCCCUCGGGUUGUAAACUGCUUUGUACGGAACGAAAAGGCUUUCUCUAAUACAGGGAGCUCAUGACGGUACCGUAAGAAUAAGCACCGGCUAACUACGUGCCAGCAGCCGCGGUAAUC